rnacentral:rRNA from 1 species
AUUGAACGCUGGCGGCAGGCCUAACACAUGCAAGUCGAGCGGAUGAAGGGAGCUUGCUCCUGGCUUCAGCGGCGGACGGGUGAGUAAUGCCUAGGAAUCUGCCUGGGAGUGGGGGAUAACGUCCGGAAACGGGCGCUAAUACCGCAUACGUCCUGAGGGAGAAAGUGGGGGAUCUUCGGACCUCACGCUAUCAGAUGAGCCUAGGUCGGAUUAGCUAGUUGGUGGGGUAAAGGCCUACCAAGGCGACGAUCCGUAACUGGUCUGAGAGGAUGAUCAGCCACACUGGAACUGAGACACGGUCCAGACUCCUACGGGAGGCAGCAGUGGGGAAUAUUGGACAAUGGGCGAAAGCCUGAUCCAGCCAUGCCGCGUGUGUGAAGAAGGUCUUCGGAUUGUAAAGCACUUUAAGUUGGGAGGAAGGGCAGUAAGUUAAUACCUUGCUGUUUUGACGGUACCAACAGAAUAAGCACCGGCUAACUUCGUG